rnacentral:rRNA from 1 species
GAUCCUGGCUCAGGAUGAACGCUGGCGGCGUGCUUAACACAUGCAAGUCGAACGAAGCACUUUAUAAAGCUUGCUUUAAGAAGUGACUUAGUGGCGGACGGGUGAGUAACGCGUGGGUAACCUGCCUUACACAGGGGGAUAACAGUUAGAAAUGACUGCUAAUACCGCAUAAAACAGCAGAGUCGCAUGACUCAACUGUCAAAGAUUUUAUCGGUGUAAGAUGGACCCGCGUCUGAUUAG